rnacentral:rRNA from 1 species
CCUACGGGAGGCAGCAGUGGGGAAUUUUGGGCAAUGGGCGAAAGCCUGACCCAGCAACGCCGUGUGUGGGAUGAAGGCCCUCGGGUCGUAAACCACUGUCAGAAGGGAAGAACGGCAUUACGGCCAAUACCCGUAGUGCGUGACGGUACCUUCAAAGGAAGCACCGGCUAACUCCGUGCCAGCAGCCGCGGUAAU